rnacentral:rRNA from 1 species
CCUACGGGCGGCAGCAGUGAGGAAUAUUGGUCAAUGGCCGGAAGGCUGAACCAGCCAAGCCGCGUGAAGGACGAAGGUGCCAAGCAUUGUAAACUUCUUUUGUCAAGGGACAAAAUCAGGCUCGAGAGCCUCACCGUGGGUACUUGAAGAAAAAGCAUCGGCUAACUCCGUGCCAGCAGCGGCGGUAAUACGGAGGAUGCGAGCGUUAUCCGGAUUUAUUGGGUUUAAAGGGUGCGUAGGCGGGCUGUUAAGUCAGCGGUAAAAGCCCGGGGCUCAACACCGGCGAGCCGUUGAAACUGGCUGCCUUGAGAUGUCGAGAGGAAUGCGGAAUGCGCAGUGUAGCGGUGAAAUGCUUAGAUAUUGCGCAGAACUCCGAUUGCGAAGGCAGCAGACCGGCGGCGAUCUGACGCUGAGGCACGAAAGCGUGGGUAUCGAACAGGAUUAGAUACCCGAGUAGUC